GAGGAAAAAAUAUUCCAUCUCUGCCUGCGCUCCUGAGUUCACAACACACCAGCCAAGAUUAAAAAAGAAUUGUUCUAACCUGAAGGAAAAGACUGUCAGAAGAGGGGAGAUCUGCCAACCCCAGCACAAGAGCUAUAAUACAGUUCUGGAUGCCGAGAAGUCCAAGAUCAAGGUGCCAACAGAUCCAGUAUCUGUCCACAGGACCUGCCCAUCUAAAUCCUAUGAGAACAGCGACGCUCCCAGGCAAACUUGUGAUGGAGAUCUGGCCAGAGCCUGUCUUUCUCUCUUCUUGAUGGAAGACCCUCUUCACCCUAAGAUUCUACUCUGAUCCCAGUGUCUAGCCUUACCAGCUAGCCAUAUUACAACCAUGUAAACUGAGUAAUUUAAUUUCUCUGUGCCUCCAUUUUCAUGUGUGUACAAGAGGACUGACAAUGCCAACAUUUGUUGAACUGUAAUAAUGACGGGGAACAAGCUAUGCAGAACACUUAACAUACAUCUGGCACAAAGUAGGUUGUUAUUUUUCCCAUCCUCAUAGCCUCACUAUCUCAACUAUCUUAUUAGUCAGAAGGCAAAAUUCCCCUCUUUGACAUAUAGACAGCAUAGGCAAGAAUUUAAAUGUUUUCCCUCCCAAGGCAUUUUACUAGCAGCAUCUUGAAAAUCAAAGCACCUUUAAAGACAGAAAGGAAUCCAUUUCUAACAGAAAAAAGUAAAAUUCUCUACCACAAUACGUUAUUAUCCUAAUUAAGAUAUCCCAUGGACCAAAUCCUUUUCCUAAAACAAUGAAAACAGCAUUUUAACUU
rnacentral:lncRNA from 1 species